CAGAGGCAACCUUUGCUUACCCCACAGCUGUGCGAGCUCUGCGGAGCAGCCCCGACCGUCUCUCCUUACGCCGCCAGGAGGGGAAGACAGGACAGGACAGAUCAAGGCUCCCUCGUUGACUUACACGAGUAUCCCCGUCCUGAGCCCAAAGACAGCUACCCCCGCCACCCUGCCGGUGCUGAGAGGGGAACCUGAGCCCCCGGGGGCGGCUAAAGGGAGAGCCACGGGCUGGAGCAGACCGAGCGCUGCCCCCCGCGGAGAUGAGCACCCCCUAAGCGGGGACAGGGACGCCGCCCCCCCGGCCAGCACCCGCAACCAAGGCACGAAGGAGCCUCCUGCAGAGGGAGGGGUGGGAGAGGCAGCGCCUGUGCCGCUUCCUCAUUCACCCGGCGCCAGGCGAGGCAGGAACUGCCGUGCGAAGCGGGGAACUCCCCGAGCCGGGGCUCCAGCGGCAGAGGCAGGGGAAGGGAGUGACAGAGGGAGGAGCCUGCUACAAUCUCGUCUAAAAAUUAUGGGGAUUUCCAUUAGUGAGAACAGCAAAAGCCUUGCUUCUUCAAUGUGUAGAGUGCUGUGCCUGCACAGACGGCUACUGAUGUCAGCAGAGAUCUCCACAGGUUCUCAUGAUGCUGAAUAUUGGGGCUGACAAUACUGCAACCUGUGUUUAAUCUAUGUUCAUGAAAAGAGUUUUUUAAAGCUUUUUUUUUUAAAAAGACUUCCUGGUACUAUUAAAACUCCACAGUGCACAUACCCUUCUACUAGGUCUCACUCUGCCUGCUGUCAAAUUGUUAGUGUCUGUGCUGACCAGCAUUGCUGUGACA